AUUGAACGCUGGCGGCAGGCCUAACACAUGCAAGUCGAACGGAAACAGGAAACAGCUUGCUGUUUCGCUGACGAGUGGCGGACGGGUGUGAAAUGUCUGGGAAACUGCUUGAUGGAGGGGGAAAACUACUGGAAACGGUAGCUAAUACCGCAUAACGUUGCAACACCAAAGAGGGGGACCCUCGGGCCUCUUUCCAUUGGAUGUGCCCAGACGGAAUUAGCUUGUUGGUGGGGUAACGGGUCACCAAGUCGACGAUCCCUAGCUGGUCUGAGAGGGUGACCAGCCACACUGGAACUGAGACACGGUCCAGACUCCUACGGGAGGCAGCAGUGGGGAAUAUUGCACAAUGGGCGCAAGCCUGAUGCAGCCAUGCCGCGUGUAUGAAGAAGGCCUUCGGGUUGUAAAGUUCUUUCAGCGGGGAGGAAGAAAGUAAUAAGAAAAUCUUUGCGCAUUGACGUUACCCGCAGAAGAAGCCCCGGCUAACUCCGUG
rnacentral:rRNA from 1 species